GACGAACGCUGGCGGCGUGCCUAAUACAUGCAAGUAGAACGCUGAAGAAGGAGCUUGCUGCUCUGGAUGAGUUGCGAACGGGUGAGUAACGCGUAGGUAACCUGCCUGGUAGCGGGGGAUAACUAUUGGAAACGAUAGCUAAUACCGCAUAAUAGUAGAUGUUGCAUGACAUUUGCUUAAAAGGUGCAAUUGCAUCACUACCAGAUGGACCUGCGUUGUAUUAGCUAGUUGGUGGGGUAACGGCUCACCAAGGCGACGAUACAUAGCCGACCUGAGAGGGUGAUCGGCCACACUGGGACUGAGACACGGCCCAGACUCCUACGGGAGGCAGCAGUAGGGAAUCUUCGGCAAUGGACGGAAGUCUGACCGAGCAACGCCGCGUGAGUGAAGAAGGUUUUCGGAUCGUAAAGCUCUGUUGUAAGAGAAGAACGAGUGUGAGAGUGGAAAGUUCACACUGUGACGGUAUCUUACCAGAAAGGGACGGCUAACUACGUG
rnacentral:rRNA from 1 species